AGGCUUUCGUUCCACCGGCACCACAUUUGCUCAGGCCAAUCUACACCCCAUGGCCAUUAAAAGUUAUUCAAAUCAUGACGCUGCACCCCACGGUUUAGGUUCUAGGGGGCGCCAAAGAUAACCCUAAAAUCCACAUAUUUAAAAGUCUUAUAACUUUUUAUUUUUGUCCUCACUGGCCUCCAAGUUUUCUAGGAUGAUGCAAUGUCCAGCCAUCAACACAUUUGUGAAGGAAUUUUUACUCCCCAAAAGAGCGCCCCCCCAUGGCAGGAGAAAAAAGUCAAUUUUUUCUUGUCCCCUAAGGUGGAAAUUCACACUAUUGAGUGUCACGCCUGUACGCUUUAUCAUAUUGACACAAAAUUUGACAAUCACAUGUAUCUCAAUAAGAUCUACAAAAAAGUCAAUGCGCGCGUAUCUGUCAAAUGUACGGUUAAAGGGCUAUUUUGCAUUUUUUGCCGAUUCGCACACAUUGGAAUGUGGCUAACUCCUCCUAAGGCUUUCGUCCCACUGACACCAAAUUUGCUCAGGCCAAUCUACACCCCAUGGUCAUUCAAAGUUGUAAAAAUCAUGACGCUGCACCCCACGGUUUACGUUCUAGGGGGCGCCAAAGAUGACCCAAAUAUCCACAUUCUUAAAAGAAUCCACAUCCCCCCCCCCCAUCCCCCAACCCCCAUGGCAGGAGAAACAGUCAAGUUUUUCCUGCCCAUCACUCAAUGGCUCAAUCGCAUCACUCUCCCGGCAACACCGUAACAAGGAGCAACUUGCCGUUUGGAUAUAUCCUAGCUGUGUUUGUGCCCUCACUCAUGGUCCAGACUUUUUUCAAAUAGGACAUGUAGUUUGUCUGCAGCGAGUGUUUUGGUAGAAACUGCGCCUCCCAUUCAUUAUAAUGGGAAAUGACCACAGACAAGUGCGCACACCAUCUUUGGACCUUGAGUGUGACGCGAUCGGGAGGGGGAGGCGGUCGCGCUGGGGGCGGCGCAACGCGGCUCGGGCCCGACAGUGCCCCACCGGGGCCCUAGUCUUUGUUUCUUUAGGGCCCGAGCGUAGCUGCUAAGCAGCUGCGAGAGCCCUAUUAUUCCCCAAGGGGUUUUUCUUUGUUUCUUUUUUCUUUUUCCUCCCCUUUGAACUGGAAAAUGGCCCACUUCCCACUGGCGAAAACUCAUGAAAUUUGGCAGGACGACCGGGCCUGGUGAAAAAUUUGAUAUUCCGAAGUCGCCCAAACAAGAAAAUGCAAAAUGGCUCCAUAGCGCCCCCUAAGGUGAAAAUUCACACUAUUGAGUGUCACGCCUGUACGCUUUGUCAAAAUGACACAAAAUUUGACACACACAUGUAUCUCAAUAAGAUCUACAAAAAAGUCAGUGCGGGCGUAUCUGUCAAAUGUACGGUUAAAGGGUUAUUUCGCAUUUUUUGCCGAUCCGCACACAUUGGAAUUUCGCUAACUCCUCUGAAGGCUUUCGUUCCACCGGCACCACAUUUGCUCAGGCCAAUCUACACCCCAUGGCCAUUAAAAGUUAUUCAAAUCAUGACGCUGCACCCCACGGUUUAGGUUCUAGGGGGCGCCAAAGAUAACCCUAAAAUCCACAUAUUUAAAAGUCUUAUAACUUUUUAUUUUUGCCCUCACUGGCCUCCAAGUUUUCUAGGAUGAUGCAAUGUCCAGCCAUCAACACAUUUGUGAAGGAAUUUUUACUCCCCAAAAGAGCGCCCCCCCAUGGCAGGAGAAAAAAGUCCAUUUUUUCUUGUCCCCUAAGGUGAAAAUACACAUUGUUGAGUGUCACGCCUGUACGCUUUGUCAAAAUGACACAAAAAUAGACACACACAUGUAUCUCAAUAAGAUCUACAAAAAAGUCCAUGCGCGCGUAUCUGUCAAAUGUACGGUUAAAGGGUUAUUCCGCAUUUUUUGCCGAUUCGCACACAUUGGAAUUUCGCUAACUCCUCCGAAGGCUUUCGUUCCACCGGCACCACAUUUGCUCAGGCCAAUCUACACCCCAUGGCCAUUAAAAGUUAUUCAAAUCAUGACGCUGCACCCCACGGUUUACGUUCUAGGGGGCGCCAAAGAUAACCCAAAAAUCCACAUUUUUAAAAGUCUUAUAACUUUUUAUUUUUGCCCUCACUGGCCUCCAAGUUUUCUAGGAUGAUGCAAUGUCCAGCCAUCAACACAUUUGUGAAGGAAUUUUUACUCCCUAAAAGAGCGCCCCCCCAUGGCAGGAGAAAAAAGUCCAUUUUUUCUUGUCCCCUAAGGUGAAAAUACACAUUGUUGACUGUCACGCCUGUACGCUUUGGCAAAAUGACACAAAAAUUGACAAUCAUGUGUAUCUCAAUUAGAUCUACGAAAAAGUCAAAGAGCGCGUAUCUGUAUAAUGUACGGUAAAAGGGCUAUUUUGCAUUUUUUGCCGAUUCGCACACAUUGGAAUUUCGCUAACUCCUCCUAAGGCUUUCGUCCCACUGACACCAAAUUUGCUCAGGCCAAUCUACACUCCA
rnacentral:lncRNA from 1 species